rnacentral:rRNA from 1 species
AUACGUAGGGGGCGAGCGUUGUCCGGAAUGAUUGGGCGUAAAGGGCGCGUAGGCGGCCCGGUAAGUCUGGAGUGAAAGUCCUGUUUUUAAGAUGGGAAUUGCUUUGGAUACUGUCGGGCUUGAGUGCAGGAGAGGUAAGUGGAAUUCCCAGUGUAGCGGUGAAAUGCGUAGAGAUUGGGAGGAACACCAGUGGCGAAGGCGACUUUCUGGACUGUAACUGACGCUGAGGCGCGAAAGUGUGGGGAGCAAACAGGAUUAGAUACCCUGGUAGUCCACACUGUAAACGAUGAAUGCUAGGUGUAGGGGGUAUCGACCCCUUCUGUGCCGCAGUCAACACAAUAAGCAUUCCGCCUGGGGAGUACGGCCGCAAGGUUGAAACUCAAAGGAAUUGGCGGGG